rnacentral:lncRNA from 1 species
UUGUUAAUGACCCUAAUGGUGGUUUCUAUAUAGACGUCGACGACGACGAGUAGCUGGUGUUCCAGCUACGAUCUGGCCCUAGGUUGGGUCUGUAGAUAGUCAUGCCAUGUGCCUUUUACCUUUUCAUCUGUUUGUACUCAGACAACUUUAAUCUUCCGCUGGAUUGUAAGACUUGUUUGAAUGUCUUGUGAUGAUGGGUCGUGAGACCCCUAUCUGUGUAAUAUUAUGUGUGAG